rnacentral:rRNA from 1 species
CCUACGGGAGGCAGCAGUGAGGAAUAUUGGUCAAUGGACGCAAGUCUGAACCAGCCAUGCCGCGUGCAGGAAGACGGCUCUAUGAGUUGUAAACUGCUUUUGUACGGGGGUACACGCAGAUACGCGUAUCUGUCUGAAAGUAUCGUACGAAUAAGGAUCGGCUCACCUCGUGCCAGCAUCCGCGGUAAUACGGGGGAUUCAAGCGUUACUCGGAUUUAUUGGGUGUAACGGGCGCGUAGGCGGUAGGAGAAGUUAGAGGUGAAAUCCCGGGGCUCAACUUCGGAAUUGCCUCUGAUACUGUUCGGCUAGAGAGUAGUAGCGGUAGGCGGAAUGUAUGGUGUAGCGGUGAAAUGCGUAGAGAUCAGACAGAACACCGAUGGCGAAGGCAGCUUACCAAGCUACUUCUGACGUUGAGGCACGAAAGCGUGGGGAGCAAACAGGAUUAGAUACCCGUGUAGUC